UUAGGCAAACCCCACUUCCAUAGACGUGACUCUGCAGGAACCCGACCCCCUUCCUAGCCACCUCCUAGGUUGUCGCAUGUAGAAUGCAGCUCAUCUCGGAGAGGAGCACGUGGAGAGUUUAGGACCUGACACGUCCAGGAAUCACCCGCUAUGUGGGAGGAUGAAGUAGGGUGAGAGUGAUAAGGAGAAGCAGGCAGAGGGACAAAGCAGAGUCAUGGAGAGAGAAUUAAGUGGGAAUCAGAGUGACAGGAGGGACUAAGGCACAGAAAGGGUUAAAGAGAUACAGAGGAUUAACAAGGGCUAAAGAGAUGAGUAGUUAAAUGGUGAAAGGUGAAGGAGUUAGGGAGGCGUGAAAGAUGAAAGGCUUAAAGGAGAGCUGAAAUGAUAGAGAAAAGGACAGACUAAAGUCACAAUAUCAUUUACUCCCAGGAGGGAGUAAGUGUUGUUUUAAGAGUCUGCAUGGUGUUAAGAGAGAGCUCUGGAUUAGGAAUCAGGUUCAGAUGGAUUAUGAAAGCACAUGAAAGCCUUUGGUAAAAUGCCAAGUUCUGAGGAAAUGUGAAAAGUCAAAUAUCUCACCUCUGAAUUGCCCCCAAA
rnacentral:lncRNA from 1 species